rnacentral:rRNA from 1 species
GACGAACGCUGGCGGCGUGCUUAACACAUGCAAGUCGAACGCGCCUGUCCUCUGGGUUUCUGGGGGGUGGGUGAGUGGCGCACGGGUGAGUAACACGUGAGUAACCUGCCCCCUUCUUCGGGAUAACGGUCUGAAAGGGCUGCUAAUACCGGGUAUUCACUGGUCUCCGCAUGGGGUCUGGUGGAAAGGUUUUUUUCUGGUGGGGGAUGGGCUCGCGGCCUAUCAGCUUGUUGGUGGGGUGAUGGCCCACCAAGGCUUUGACGGGUAGCCGGCCUGAGAGGGUGACCGGUCACAUUGGGACUGAGAUACGGCCCAGACUCCUACGGGAGGCAGCAGUGGGGAAGAUUGCACAAUGGGCGCAAGCCUGAUGCAGCGACGCCGCGUGAGGGAUGGAGGCCUUCGGGUUGUGAACCUCUUUCGCCCGUGGUCAAGCCGCGACGUGGGUCGUGGUGAGGGUAGUGGGUAAAGAAGCGCCGGCUAACUACGUG